GCCUGGUUGGCUUAGUUGGUUAAGCAUCCGACUUUGGCUCAGGUCCUGAUCUCACAGUUGGUGAGUUCGACCCCCACAUCGGGCU
rfam:Felis catus isolate Cinnamon breed Abyssinian chromosome E1, whole genome shotgun sequence.